rnacentral:tRNA from 1 species
UGAUCUUUAGUUUAAGAAAAAUAAUAUUUUUGUAAAAUAUAGAUAGCCUAUGUAGUGUUAAGAUUAG